GAUUAUGGCUCAGGAUGAACGCUAGCUACAGGCUUAACACAUGCAAGUCGAGGGGUAGCAGGGUAGCAAUACCGCUGACGACCGGCGCACGGGUGAGUAACACGUAUCCAACCUUCCCAUAACUCAGGGAUAGCCUUUCGAAAGAAAGAUUAAUACCUGAUAGUACUUUUUCAAGGCAUCUUGAGAAAGUUAAAGAUUUAUUGGUUAUGGAUGGGGAUGCGUUCCAUUAGAUAGUUGGUGAGGUAACGGCUCACCAAGUCUUCGAUGGAUAGGGGUUCUGAGAGGAAGGUCCCCCACAUUGGUACUGAGACACGGACCAAACUCCUACGGGAGGCAGCAGUGAGGAAUAUUGGUCAAUGGGCGAGAGCCUGAACCAGCCAAGUAGCGUGAAGGAAUGAAGGUCCUAUGGAUUGUAAACUUCUUUUAUAGUAGAAUAAAGUGAUCCACGUGUGGAUUUUUGUAUGUAUACUAUGAAUAAGGAUCGGCUAACUCCGUGCCAGCCGCCGC
rnacentral:rRNA from 1 species